rnacentral:rRNA from 1 species
UGGGAAUCUUGCACAAUGGGCGCAAGCCUGAUGCAGCAACGCCGCGUGCGGGAAGACGGCCCUAGGGUUGUAAACCGCUUUCAGGAGGGAAGAAAUGACGGUACCUCCAGAAGAAGGUGCGGCCAACUACGUGCCAGCAGCCGCGUGACACGUAGGCACCAAGCGUUAUUCGGAUUUAUUGGGCGUAAAGGGCGCGUAGGCGGCUUGAUAAGUCAAAGGUGAAAUCCCUCGGCUCAACCGGGGAACUGCCUUUGAAACUGUCUGGCUAGAGUUCGGGAGAGGGUAGGGGUAAUUCCAAGUGUAGAGGUGAAAUUCGUAGAUAUUUGGAGGAACACCAGUGGCGAAGGCGGCUCACUGGCUCGAUACUGACGCUGAGGUGCGAAAGUGUGGGGAGCAAACAGGAUUAGAUACCCUGGUAGUCCACACCGUAAACGAUGAAUGCCAGUCGUCGGAUAGCAUGCUAUUCGGUGACACACCUAACGGAUUAAGCAUUCCGCCU